rnacentral:rRNA from 1 species
AUUGAACGCUGGCGGCAGGCCUAACACAUGCAAGUCGAGCGGAUGAAGGGAGCUUGCUCCUGGAUUCAGCGGCGGACGGGUGAGUAAUGCUAGGAAUCUGCCUGGGAGUGGGGGAUAACGUCCGGAAACGGGCGCUAAUACCGCCUACGUCCUGAGGGAGAAAGUGGGGGGUCUUCGGACCCCACGCUAUCCGAUGAGCCUAGGUCGGAUUAGCUAGUUGGUGGGGUAAAGGCCUACCAAGGCGACGAUCCGUAACUGGUCUGAGAGGAUGAUCAGUCACACUGGAACUGAGACACGGUCCAGACUCCUACGGGAGGCAGCAGUGGGGAAUAUUGGACAAUGGGCGAAAGCCUGAUCCAGCCAUGCCGCGUGUGUGAAGAAGGUCUUCGGAUUGUAAAGCACUUUAAGUUGGGAGGAAGGGCAGUAAGUUAAUACCUUGCUGUUUUGACGUUACCAACAGAAUAAGCACCGGCUAACUUCGUG